rnacentral:rRNA from 1 species
CAGGCUUAACACAUGCAAGUCGAGGGGCAUCAGGAAGAAAGCUUGCUUUCUUUGCUGGCGACCGGCGCACGGGUGAGUAACACGUAUCCAACCUGCCCUUUACUCGGGGAUAGCCUUUCGAAAGAAAGAUUAAUACCCGAUGGCAUAAUGAUUCCGCAUGGUUUCAUUAUUAAAGGAUUCCGGUAAAGGAUGGGGAUGCGUUCCAUUAGGUUGUUGGUGAGGUAACGGCUCACCAAGCCUUCGAUGGAUAGGGGUUCUGAGAGGAAGGUCCCCCACAUUGGAACUGAGACACGGUCCAAACUCCUACGGGAGGCAGCAGUGAGGAAUAUUGGUCAAUGGGCGCUAGCCUGAACCAGCCAAGUAGCGUGAAGGAUGAAGGCUCUAUGGGUCGUAAACUUCUUUUAUAUAAGAAUAAAGUGCAGUAUGUAUACUGUUUUGUAUGUAUUAUAUGAAUAAGGAUCGGCUAACUCCGUGCCAGCAGCCGCGGUAAUACGGAGGAUCCGAGCGUUAUCCGGAUUUAUUGGGUUUAAAGGGAGCGUAGGUGGACUGGUAAGUCAGUUGUGAAAGUUUGCGGCUCAACCGUAAAAUUGCAGUUGAUACUGUCAGUCUUGAGUACAGUAGAGGUGGGCGGAAUUCGUGGUGUAGCGGUGAAAUGCUUAGAUAUCACGAAGAACUCCGAUUGCGAAGGCAGCUCACUGGACUGCAACUGACACUGAUGCUCGAAAGUGUGGGUAUCAAACAGGAUUAGAUACCCUGGUAGUCCACACAGUAAACGAUGAAUACUCGCUGUUUGCGAUAUACAGUAAGCGGCCAAGCGAAAGCAUUAAGUAUUCCACCUGGGGAGUACGCCGGCAACGGUGAAACUCAAAGGAAUUGACGGGGGCCCGCACAAGCGGAGGAACAUGUGGUUUAAUUCGAUGAUACGCGAGGAACCUUACCCGGGCUUAAAUUGCAGUGGAAUGAUGUGGAAACAUGUCAGUGAGCAAUCACCGCUGUGAAGGUGCUGCAUGGUUGUCGUCAGCUCGUGCCGUGAGGUGUCGGCUUAAGUGCCAUAACGAGCGCAACCCUUAUCUUUAGUUACUAACAGGUUAUGCUGAGGACUCUAGAGAGACUGCCGUCGUAAGAUGUGAGGAAGGUGGGGAUGACGUCAAGUCAGCACGGCCCUUACGUCCGGGGCUACACACGUGUUACAAUGGGGGGUACAGAAGGCAGCUAGCGGAUGACCGUAUGCUAAUCCCAAAAGCCUCUCUCAGUUCGGAUCGAAGUCUGCAACCCGACUUCGUGAAGCUGGAUUCGCUAGUAAUCGCGCAUCAGCCACGGCGCGGUGAAUACGUUCCCGGGCCUUGUACACACCGCCCGUCAAGCCAUGGGAGCCGGGGGUACCUGAAGUACGUAACCGCAAGGAUCGUCCUAGGGUAAAACUGGUGACUGG